GCCAAUGUGGAUGAGAUGGGCAGAGUGAAGCUCUCUCAAUCCAACUGCUCUCAACACCCACUGCAUGCCAAAAGCUGAGCAAGUGAGAGGCGAUGCAGCUGGUUCUCUGAGAGAGGCAGAGAGCACUGGGGAAAGCCGUGCUGAUCUGCGAGCUCUGAAUAAAGCCACCCCAAACAAGAA